rnacentral:rRNA from 1 species
GUGGGGAAUAUUGCACAAUGGGCGCAAGCCUGAUGCGAGCCAUGCCGCGUGUAUGAAGAAGGCCUUCGGGUGUAAAGUACUUCAGCAGUGAGGAAGGUCGGGUAUGUUAAUAGCAUACUCAUUUGACGUUAGCUGCAGAAGAAGCACCGGCUAACUCCGUGCCAGCAAGCCGCGGUAAUACGGAGGGUGCGAGCGUUAAUCGGAAUUACUGGGCGUAAAGCGCAUGCAGGUGGUUUGUUAAGUCAGAUGUGAAAGCCCGGGGCUCAACCUCGGAAUUGCAUUUGAAACUGGCAAACUAGAGUACUGUAGAGGGGGUAGAAUUUCAGGUGUAGCGGUGAAAUGCGUAGAGAUCUGAAGGAAUACCGGUGGCGAAGGCGGCCCCCUGGACAGAUACUGACACUCAGAUGCGAAAGCGUGGGGAGCAAACAGGAUUAGAUACCCUGGUAG